UACGGAGGGUGCAAGCGUUAUCCGGAUUCACUGGGUUUAAAGGGUGCGUAGGCGGACAUGUAAGUCCGUGGUGAAAUCUCUAAGCUUAACUUGGAAACUGCCAUGGAUACUAUAUGUCUUGAAUGUUGUGGAGGUUAGCGGAAUAUGUCAUGUAGCGGUGAAAUGCAUAGAUAUGACAUAGAACACCAAUUGCGAAGGCAGCUGGCUACACAAAUAUUGACGCUGAGGCACGAAAGCGUGGGGAUCAAACAGG
rnacentral:rRNA from 1 species